AGAGAAAUCAAAGCCAUAUCAUAUGCAUGAACCCAAUUCUCUAACAAUCUAAGCUUGUCCUACAAAGUGGUAUAAAGGAAGAAAGUUCAAGUCAAGCAAAGCAACAAGGGAAUCAAGAUCGAGGUAAAUCUCAAGUUUAGCUAUCAAGCUUCGCCCGGUUCGAACACGCUUCAAGGCCCGUCUCAUGUUCCGCUACUUUUGUAAAGAAGACAUUGUUUAAUACUUUUGUCGCUUUGUCUAUAUCUAGUAGUUAAAACUUAG